rnacentral:rRNA from 1 species
AAUUUCAGGUGUAGCGGUGAAAUGCGUAAGGAUCGAAGAAUACGGUGGCGAAGCGGCCCCUGGACAAAAAACUGACGCUCAGAUGCGAAAGCGGGGGGAGCAAACAGAUAGAAAACNUGGUAGUCACGCGUAAACGAUGUCUACUGAGGUUGUGGCCUGAGCCGUGGCUUUCGGAGCUAACGCGUUAAGUAGACCGCCUGGGGAGUACGGUCGCAAGAUUAAAACUCAAAUGAAUUGACGGGGGCCCGCACAAGCGGUGGAGCAUGUGGUUUAAUUCGAUGCAACGCGAAGAACCUUACCUACUCUUGACAUCCAGAGAACUUUCCAGAGAUGGAUUGGUGCCUUCGGGAACUCUGAGACAGGUGCUGCAUGGCUGUCGUCAGCUCGUGUUGUGAAAUGUUGGGUUAAGUCCCGCAACGAGCGCAACCCUUAUCCUUGUUUGCCAGCACUUCGGGUGGGAACUCCAGGGAGACUGCCGGUGAUAAACCGGAGGAAGGUGGGGACGACGUCAAGUCAUCAUGGCCCUUACGAGUAGGGCUACACACGUGCUACAAUGGCGUAUACAAAGGGCUGCCAACUCGCGAGAGUGAGCGAAUCCCAGAAAGUACGUCGUAGUCCGGAUUGGAGUCUGCAACUCGACUCCAUGAAGUCGGAAUCGCUAGUAAUCGUGAAUCAGAAUGUCACGGUGAAUACGUUCCCGGGCCUUGUACACACCGCCCGUCACACCAUGGGAGUGGGCUGCACCAGAAGUAGAUAGCUUAACCUUCGGGAGGGCGUUUACCACGGUGUGGUUCAUGACUGGGGUGAAGUCGUAACAAGGUAGCCCUAGGGGAACCUGCGGCUGGAUCACCU